rnacentral:misc_RNA from 1 species
UCAACUUUGUUGGACUUUCUCUUUUCUUUUUACAUGCUGAAACCUUGAGGGCCGGGAUAGUAUCCUUUGUGCACUCGCGACAGCAUGUUACUUAGAUUCCAAAGGGUAAGCUAACAACCGCCUUCUUAGUGUUUUGUUACCUUUCUCGUUUGAAUCACGAGUUAUUAUGAGCCUUUAGCAAGCUCUAACCGCGCGCUGACUUGGAACGGUUUUUACCUUAUACUUGAUAUCGACCUUAUGGGCGAUAUCCCGUAUAUGGUAUAGCCAAGAUCCUUGAAGGGCAAGUCAACGACUGAUUUUCUGGAUCGUUAGUGAGCUUGAGGGCCUGCCCUAAGGUUGCCAUGAUUGAAAAGGCCUUAGAAGCUAAGUGAGUUAAGCUACGGUUACCUUUUUAGCCGUUUCAACCGUUUACUUAGCUUUCGAGGGCUACAUUCAAAAUUUGAACGGCAACUGGUUCUGAAACGAAAGGUUUGCUAAGUAAACCAUUGGUCAAGACCGGUUUGCAACAAUUUUGGUGGCUGUAGGGUGAGUUUUCAUUGACUUGGCCUAUAGUGCGAGUUGGUAACAAAACGCAAUAAAAUGCAUACUUGU